GUGAGGAAUAUUGGUCAAUGGGCGAGAGCCUGAACCAGCCAAGUCGCGUGAAGGAAGAAGGAUCUAUGGUUCGUAAACUUCUUUUGCAGGGGAAUAAAGUGCAGGACGUGUCCUGUUUUGUAUGUACCCUGAGAAUAAGGAUCGGCUAACUCCGUGCCAGCAGCCGCGGUAAUACGGAGGAUCCGAGCGUUAUCCGGAUUUAUUGGGUUUAAAGGGUGCGUAGGUGGUUUGAUAAGUCAGCGGUGAAAGUUUGCAGCUUAACUGUAAAAAUGCCGUUGAAACUGUCGGACUUGAGUGUAAAUGAGGUAGGCGGAAUGCGGGGUGUAGCGGUGAAAUGCAUAGAUAUCACGCAGAACUCCGAUUGCGAAGGCAGCUUACUAAGCUACAACUGACACUGAAGCACGAAAGCGUGGGGAUCAAACAGGAUUAGAUACCCUUGUAGUCC
rnacentral:rRNA from 1 species